rnacentral:piRNA from 1 species
UGAUUUAAUCAGACCGAAUUUUCCUAUCUU